UACGUACCGUGCGAACGUUAUUCGGAAUUACUGGGCUUAAAGGGUUUGUAGGCGGCUUUGUAAGUCAGGUGUGAAAUCCCUCGGCUCAACCGAGGAAUGGCGCUUGAUACUGCAAGGCUUGAGGGAGACAGGGGUAAGCGGAACUGAUGGUGGAGCGGUGAAAUGCGUUGAUAUCAGCAGGAACACCGGUGGCGAAAGCGGCUUACUGGGUCGCUUCUGACGCUGAGGAACGAAAGCUAGGGUAGCGAACGGG
rnacentral:rRNA from 1 species